rnacentral:rRNA from 1 species
GCGGGGGCGGGCGAGCAUAUACAUGCAGUCCGAACGAACUCUGAGUAUUGAUUGGUGCUUGCAUCAUGAUUUACAUUUGAGUGAGUGGCGAACUGGUGAGUAACACGUGGGAAACCUGCCCAGAAGCGGGGGAUAACACCUGGAAACAGAUGCUAAUACCGCAUAACAACUUGGACCGCAUGGUCCGAGUUUGAAAGAUGGCUUCGGCUAUCACUUUUGGAUGGUCCCGCGGCGUAUUAGCUAGAUGGUGGGGUAACGGCUCACCAUGGCAAUGAUACGUAGCCGACCUGAGAGGGUAAUCGGCCACAUUGGGACUGAGACACGGCCCAAACUCCUACGGGAGGCAGCAGUAGGGAAUCUUCCACAAUGGACGAAAGUCUGAUGGAGCAACGCCGCGUGAGUGAAGAAGGGUUUCGGCUCGUAAAACUCUGUUGUUAAAGAAGAACAUAUCUGAGAGUAACUGUUCAGGUAUUGACGGUAUUUAACCAGAAAGCCACGGCUAACUACGUGCCAGCACCCGCGGGUAAUCGUAGGUGGCAAGCGUUGUCCGGAUUUAUUGGGCGUAAAGCGAGCGCAGGCGGUUUUUUUUGUCUGAUGUGAAAGCCUUCGGCUCAACCGAAGAAGUGCAUCGGAAACUGGGAAACUUGAGUGCAGAAGAGGACAGUGGAACUCCAUGUGUAGCGGUGAAAUGCGUAGAUAUAUGGAAGAACACCAGUGGCGAAGGCGGCUGUCUGGUCUGUAACUGACGCUGAGGCUCGAAAGUAUGGGUAGCAAACAGGAUUAGAUACCCUGGUAGUCCAUACCGUAAACGAUGAAUGCUAAGUGUUGGAGGGUUUCCGCCCUUCAGUGCUGCAGCUAACGCAUUAAGCAUUCCGCCUGGGGAGUACGGCCGCAAGGCUGAAACUCAAAGGAAUUGACGGGGGCCCGCACAAGCGGUGGAGCAUGUGGUUUAUUUCGAAGCUACGCGAAGAACCUUACCAGGUCUUGACAUACUAUGCAAAUCUAAGAGAUUAGACGUUCCCUUCGGGGACAUGGAUACAGGUGGUGCAUGGUUGUCGUCAGCUCGUGUCCUGAAAUGUUGGGUUAAGU